UGUUAGCGGUGAUGAUAAGCUUUAAUCCCAGCAAAUUAUGAAACCUUCUUUGUGUGAGGUCUGCGAAGAUACUCCAUCUAAAAUCUUUCUGAGCUUCUCA
rnacentral:snoRNA from 1 species